rnacentral:piRNA from 1 species
ACAAAGGAUUUGUAAACUUUGCCUGGA